rnacentral:rRNA from 1 species
UACGUAGGGGGCUAGCGCUGUCCGGAUUUAUUGGGCGUAAAGAGCGUGUAGGCGGCCAGGUAGGUCUGCUGUGAAAACUCGAGGCUCAACCUCGAGACGUCGGCGGAAACCAUCUGGCUAGAGUCCGGAAGAGGAGAGUGGAAUUCCCGGUGUAGCGGUGAAAUGCGCAGAUAUCAGGAGGAACACCGGUGGCGAAGGCGGGUCUCUGGGCCGAUACUGACGCUGGAGGAGCGAAAGCGUGGGGAGCGAACAGG